rnacentral:rRNA from 1 species
UGAGGAAUUUUGCGCAAUGGGGGAAACCCUGACGCAGCGACGCCGCGUGGGUGAAGAAGGUUUUCGGAUCGUAAAGCCCUGUCAGGUGGGACGAAGUGCAUGCUGGUUAAUACCCAGUGUGUUUGACGGUACCACCGAAGGAAGCACCGGCUAACUCCGUGCCAGCAGCCGCGGUAAUACGGAGGGUGCAAGCGUUGUUCGGAAUCACUGGGCGUAAAGGGCGCGUAGGCGGCUAUGCAAGUCAUAUGUGAAAGCCCACGGCUUAACCGUGGAAGUGCAUGUGAAACUGCAUGGCUUGAGUAUCGGAGGGGAAAGUGGAAUUCCCGGUGUAGAGGUGAAAUUCGUAGAGAUCGGGAGGAAUACCGGUGGCGAAGGCGACUUUCUGGACGAAUACUGACGCUGAGGCGCGAAAGCGUGGGGAGCAAACAGG